rnacentral:rRNA from 1 species
UUUAGUCAUAUGCUUGUCUCAAAGAUUAAGCCAUGCAUGUGUAAGUAUGAACUAUUUCAGACUGUGAAACUGCGAAUGGCUCAUUAAAUCAGUUAUAGUUUGUUUGAUGGUACGCGUGCUACCGGAUAACCGUAAAUUCUAGAGCUAAUACGCGCAACAAACCCCGACUUCCCAAAGGGUUGCAUUUAUUAGAUAAAAGGCUGACGGGCUUUGCCCGCUGUCCGAUGAUUCAUGAUAACUUCGACGGAUCGCACGGCCCUCGCGCCGGGCGACGAUCAUUCAAAUUUCUGCCCUAUCAACUUUCGAUGGUAGGAUAGGGGCCUACCAUGGUGGUGACGGUGACGGAGAAUUAGGGUUCGAUUCGAGAGGGAGCCUCGAGAAACGGCUACCACAUCCAAGGAAGGCAGCAGCGCAAGAAAUUACCCAAACCCGACACGGGAGGUAGUGACAAUAAAUAACAAUACCAGGCUCUUUUCGAGUCUGGUAAUUGAAUGAGUACAAUCUAAAUCCCUUAAUGAGGAUCCAUUGAGGGCAAGUCCGGUGCCAGCAGCCGCGGUAAUUCCAGCUCCAAUAGCGAUAUUUAGGUUGUUGCAGUUAAAAAGCUCGAAGUUGGACUUUGGGACGGGUCGGUCGGUCCGCCGCGGUGUGCAAUCGGUCGUCCCAUCCUUCUGUCGGCGAUGCGUGCCGGCCUUAACUGGCGGGGUCGUGCCUCCCAAGCUGUUAUUUUGAAGAAAUUAGAGUGCUCAAAGCAAGCCCACGCCUGGAUACAUUAGCAUGGGAUAACAUCACGGAUUUCGGUCCUAUUGUGUUGGCCUUCGGAUCGGAGUAAUGAUUAAGAGGGACAAAUGGGGGCAUUCAGAUUUCAUAGUCAAGGUGAAAUUCUUGGAUUUAUGAAAGACGAACCACCGCGAAAAGCAUUUGCCAAGGAUGUUUUCAUUAAUCAAGAACGAAAGUUGGGGCUCGGUUGGAUCGAUACCGCCCUAGUCUCAACCAUAAACGAUGCCGACCAGGGAUCGGCGGAUGUUGUUUUAGACUCGCCGCACCUUUGUGAAAAUCAAAGUCUUUGGGUUCCGGGGAGGUAUGGUCGCAAGGGCUGAAACUUAAAGGAAUUGACGGAAGAGCACCACCAGAGUGGAGCCUCGCGGCUUAAUUUGACUCAACACGGGAAACUUACCAGGUCCAGACAUAGCAAGGAUUGACAAACUGAGAGCUCUUUUCUUGAUUCUAUUGGUGGUGGUGCAUGGCCGUUCUUAGUUGGUGGAGCCGAUUUGUUUGGUUAAUUCGAUAACGAACGAGACCUCAGCCUGCUAACUAGCUACGCGAGGCAUCCCUCCGCCAGCUUCUUAGAGGGACUAUGGCCGCUUAGGCCACGGAAGUUUGAGGCAAUAACAGGUCUGUGAUGCCCUUAGAUGUUCUGGGUCGCACGCCGCUACACUGAUGUAUUCAACGAAGUCUAUAGCCUUGGCCGACAGGCCCGGUAAUCUUUGAAAAUUUCAUCGUGAUGGGGAUAGAUAAUUGCAAUUUUUGGUCUUCAACGAGGAAUUUUAGUAAGCGCCGAAAUCAGCUCAUGCUGACUAUGUCCCUGCCCUUUGUACACACCGCCCGUCGCUCCUACCCAUUGAAUGAUCCGGUGAAGUGUUCGAUCGAGGCGACGGGGCGGUUCGCCGCCCGCGACGUCGCGAGAAGUCCACUGAACCUUAUCAUUUAGAGGAAGGAGAAGUCGAAUAAGGUUUCCGUGGUAAACCUGCGGAAG